ACUCCUACGGGAGGCAGCAGUGGGGAAUAUUGCACAAUGGGCGCAAGCCUGAUGCAGCCAUGCCGCGUGUAUGAAGAAGGCCUUCGGGUUGUAAAGUACUUUCAGCAGUGAGGAAGGUGGGUAUGUUAAUAGCAUAUUCUAUUUGACGUUAGCUGCAGAAGAAGCACCGGCUAACUCCGUGCCAGCAGCCGCGGUAAGUACGGGAGGGUGCGAGCGUUAAUCGGAAUUACUGGGCGUAAAGCGCAUGCAGGUUGGUUUGUUAAGUCAGAUGUGAAAGCCCGGGGUCUCAACCUCGGAAUUGCAUUUGAAACUGGCAAACUAGAGUACUGGUAGAGGGGGUUAGAAUUUCAGGUGUAGCGGUGAAAUGCGUAGAGAUCGUG
rnacentral:rRNA from 1 species